rnacentral:rRNA from 1 species
GACGAACGCUGGCGGCGUGCCUAAUACAUGCAAGUUGAGCGCUGAAGGUUGGUACUUGUACCAACUGGAUGAGCAGCGAACGGGUGAGUAACGCGUGGGGAAUCUGCCUUUGAGCGGGGGACAACAUUUGGAAACGAAUGCUAAUACCGCAUAAAAACUUUAAACACAAGUUUUAAGUUUGAAAGAUGCAAUUGCAUCACUCAAAGAUGAUCCCGCGUUGUAUUAGCUAGUUGGUGAGGUAAAGGCUCACCAAGGCGAUGAUUCAUAGCCGACCUGAGAGGGUGAUCGGCCACAUUGGGACUGAGACACGGCCCAAACUCCUACGGGAGGCAGCAGUAGGGAAUCUUCGGCAAUGGACGAAAGUCUGACCGAGCAACGCCGCGUGAGUGAAGAAGGUUUUCGGAUCGUAAAACUCUGUUGGUAGAGAAGAACGUUGGUGAGAGUGGAAAGCUCAUCAAGUGACGGUAACUACCCAGAAAGGGACGGCUAACUACGUG